GGUUGAAACCAUAUCCUAUUCAACUAAGCCCGUGCAUUUGGGGCGUAGUUGUGUCCCAGUGAAGGAGGGGCUCCAGAGCAUCAUCAAAUGUCUCAAGGCACAAGAUGUCACCAACCUAAAUCUGCUACAGAAGAAUGAGCGCAUCAAACAAUGCUCCUGUUCCGUUUGUCGUCCUCCCUCUCUCCGAUCAUGUCAGAUGAGGUCACCUAGAGACAUGCUUUGGAACACCGAUCUGAGAGGUUCAACAUAUCUACAGUCAGCAUUCCACAGACCCCAGCCAUCCUAUGGAGGACGCCUUCAACUAACCACCACGCCGUAUAGCGAUGC